ensembl:lncRNA
CUGGAAUUUCUGCAUCAUUACGCCAGUCUUCGGUCUCUGGGGCAACUAACGGAGACAGUUGAGCAGCAGACAUCCACUUGUAUGUAGGGACAUACUUCAUGGCUCGAUGGGAAAUCUCCAGUCUCAUGUGGAAGAAGGAGAGAGAGAGAUUAACAUUAUCUAAUGGCUUCAGAAGAUUUCAGAAUACUUCACAUGGACCACUUUAUGGUCCUUUUAUGGUGACAGUCCAGCCCUCAUCCAUCAUUAAAGGGGAAAAAGCAGCCUGAACAUAUUGCUAAAUAGCUACAGCUUUGUGUUUCACAGAAAAGAGAGCAAGUCUAACAGAUUUGGAAUGACGUAAAGGGGAAUAAAUGAUGAAAGGCCAAA